GACGAACGCUGGCGGCGUGCCUAACACAUGCAAGUCGAACGGGGGGAACAUGAAGUAUUUCGGUACGGAAUGCGCCCCUAGUGGCGAACGGGUGAGUAACACGUGGGCAACCUGCCCCAGACUGGGGGAUAACAUUGUGAAAACAGUGCUAAUACCGCAUGACAGGGUUCCGGGCAUCCGGGACCCUUGAAAGGAGAAAUCCGGUCAGGGGAUGGGGCCCGCGUCCAAUUAGCUAGUUGGCGGGGUAACGGCCCACCAAGGCGACGAUUGGUAGCCGAACUGAGAGGUUGAUCGGCCACAUUGGGACUGAGACACGGCCCAGACUCCUACGGGAGGCAGCAGUGGGGAAUAUUGGGCAAUGGGCGAAAGCCUGACCCAGCGACGCCGCGUGAAGGAUGAAGGUCUUCGGAUUGUAAACUUCUUUGAUCAGGGAAGAAAGAAUGACGGUACCUGAAAAACAAGCCACGGCUAACUACGUG
rnacentral:rRNA from 1 species